GGCCGGACCAGGAAUCUUGGGGAUCCUGGGGCACCCUGUGUACGGCUCCAGCGCCUCCCAGCCCUGUCCUGUUUUCCUUCACGGGAAUGAUGCUCAGCAGUUCUGACCCAGACACUCUCUUCCUGAAGGGCUCCCUUGGGUGGCCACUGGGACCCCACUCUUGCCUGUUGUGGUGCUUCUCCUGGUGGCACACUUGGGUUCACCUGGAAACUUUACCAGGAGAGAGAGCAAGAUCGUCGGGCCAAAGGUUGGAAGAAAAGCCAGAAGGCGAAAGGCGAGCCAACUGGAAUUGUUCUGAAGACUUCACCUCCUUCACCUAACAGGUGGCUUUGUCUGGUUUCCUUCUCCUGAGGCCUUGCUCACUCUUGCCCCAUAUGUCACAAUACCCAAAUGUCCCAAGGGACUUCUAAACCUGUGACCAAACUGA